AAAAAGUCUGAAAAUUUCAGAACAA
rnacentral:tRNA from 1 species